UACGGAGGGUGCAAGCGUUGCUCGGAAUCAUUGGGCGUAAAGCGUACGCAGGCUGUUCGUCAAGUCGGGUGUGAAAGCCCGGGGCUCAACCCCGGAACGGCGCCCGAAACUGACGAGCUUGAGUGCGGGAGAGGGAAGCGGAAUUCCUGGUGUAGAGGUGAAAUUCGUAGAUAUCAGGAGGAACACCGGUGGCGAAAGCGGCUUCCUGGCCCGACACUGACGCUCAUGUACGAAAGCGUGGGGAGCAAACAGG
rnacentral:rRNA from 1 species